rnacentral:rRNA from 1 species
CACUCCUGCGGGAGGCAGCAGUGGGGAAUUUUGGACAAUGGGCGAAAGCCUGAUCCAGCCAUGCCGCGUGCAGGAUGAAGGCCUUCGGGUUGUAAACUGCUUUUGUACGGAACGAAACGGCCUUUUCUAAUAAAGAGGGCUAAUGACGGUACCGUAAGAAUAAGCACCGGCUAACUACGUGCCAGCAGCCGCGGUAAUACGUAGGGUGCAAGCGUUAAUCGGAAUUACUGGGCGUAAAGCGUGCGCAGGCGGUUAUGUAAGACAGUUGUGAAAUCCCCGGGCUCAACCUGGGAACUGCAUCUGUGACUGCAUAGCUAGAGUACGGUAGAGGGGGAUGGAAUUCCGCGUGUAGCAGUGAAAUGCGUAGAUAUGCGGAGGAACACCGAUGGCGAAGGCAAUCCCCUGGACCUGUACUGACGCUCAUGCACGAAAGCGUGGGGAGCAAACAGGAUUAGAUACCCUAGUAGUCCC